GAAAUGCGAUAAGUAAUGUGAAUUGCAGAAUUCAGUGAAUCAUCGAAUCUUUGAACGCACCUUGCGCUCCUUGUAUUCCUUGGAGCAUGCCUGUUUGAGUAUCAUGAAAUCUUCAAAGUAAAUCUUUUGUUAACUCAAUUGGUUUCUACUUUGGGAUUGGAGGUCUUUGCAGCUUCACACCUGCUCCUCUUUGUUCAUUAGCUGGAUCUCAGUGUUAUGCUUGGUUCCACUCGGCGUGAUAAGUUAUCUAUCGCUGAGGACACUGUAAAAGGUGGCCAAGGUAAAUGCAGAUGAACCGCUUCUAAUAGUCCAUUGACUUGGACAAUACUUUUAUGAUCUGAUCUCAAAUCAGGUAGGACUACCCGCUGAACUUAAGC
rnacentral:misc_RNA from 1 species